rnacentral:lncRNA from 1 species
CGAAGGGUCAAUUGUGACUGAAUUACUGAGCUACUAAUAAUAUUAAGUAGUUAUUUAUAAGUCAAGGUUACUCUAAAUCACUCUCGACUCGCCUUAAAAGUCAUCUGCAAUGUGGAACGUCCAACAAUUCAUUGACACAGUUGUGACUGACUCCUUCAUAGCCGUCGGCCAGCUCUUUCACAUCCACCAUCUAAUUGAAGUGAAAGGACAGAAAUGUUGAAAGUGUGUUUUCUGCAGCACCAGUAAGGACCGUUCUCCUAUGAUGUAGUCGACCCUAUCAGAAAACAUUUACUCACUUUUUGCUUUUAUACAAAAAAACAUGCCAUUUCUCCAUUUUGGUGAAAAGUGGGCCAUUAGCUAAACCACAACCUUCCUGUCCAAAGACCUUCAUGAACUACUGAAACUAUAUCUGACAGUUUGGGGAGGAAUUCAUUCUAACGGGUGAAAAUGAACCAGGUCUUUUCUGUGUAUGUGCCGGUCUUUAAGCAUAAAUGUAAAUAUAUAAAAUAUACUAAUAAUGCAUAUAGUCUCUGGUUAUCGGUGAUACUUCCCAUUCUGCACAAUUGUGACCUUUGACCCCUUGCACGUGGUCUUAAAUGUCCACAUUCUGGAUGACAUCCUGCCAGACUUUGUUGGUAUUUCACUGUUUGAUCUAGCAUGUGACUGUUUUUCCCCCCCAGCACUUGUCCCAUGUUGGCUGGCCUACUAUGCAGUUAAAUGGAAAGGUUUUUCCCCAGCACUUGUCCCAUGUUGGCUGGCCCACUAUGCAGUUAAAUGGAAAGGUUCUACAGAUGUAGACGUGACAUGUGAAUUGGGAUGAGGGGAAAUGACAAUCAAUGACAACUGAAAUAGCAAACAUUAUCUGUAUAUCGCUAUAUUUGUUCUUGUAGAUGUACUUUGAAUAUGUUUAAUAUGUGGGG